UUGCCAUGGGAACCGUCUCCCACCAGCGAAUUGGACAGGUGCUGGUGGGAGGCGAUGCGUGGACUCAAGCCCACAAGCAUGGGCUUUCUCUGCCCUUUCUCUUCCAGCCUGGAAGCCACAGAAGGCAGCCGGUGGGGGAGGGCGAGGGCUGCCCUUCCUCAGGGCACACACUCAGGUUGUCUUCGUUUCAGUGGCCAUUGUAAAGUGUACGUUUCACUAUUACUCAGCUCAUCAUCGCUGCCCAGGGAGCACACUCUACGCCAGGCCCUGUGUCAGGGUCAAGCCUGCCAUCUCUCCUGCCUUCUUGCUCAGACCAUAGAGAGAAGGGGCCCCUGGAAGGUCACAGGACAGCGAGGCCGCCACACUGCCAGGGGAGAGGGGGCACAACAGGGAACCUGCACAGCUGAGUGCUGGGGUGCGGCUCUCCGGGCCGGCAGGAAGGGACCAGGCAGGGCCCUGUCCCAGCAUUUGGGGCUUUGGGGCAGAACUGAGACCCAGGCGAACAAGCAGUUUGUGGUUCUGCAGCUGAGAAACAAAGCCGACGCCACGCAGAUUUGUAGCUGUCGGUGCUAUUUGUAGUUGACGAAACAAGAAAUAAAAGCAUAAAGAUACCCCUCA
rnacentral:lncRNA from 1 species